rnacentral:misc_RNA from 1 species
GAUGAAGAACGUAGCGAAAUGCGAUAACUAGUGUGAAUUGCAGAAUUCCGUGAAUCAUCGAGUCUUUGAACGCACAUUGCGCCCCCUGGUAUUCCGGGGGGCAUGCCUGUCCGAGCGUCAUUGCUGCCCAUCAAGCACGGCUUGUGUGUUGGGUCGUCGUCCCCUCUCCGGGGGGGGCGGGCCCCAAAGGCAGCGGCGGCACCGCGUCCGAUCCUCGAGCGUAUGGGGCUUUGUCACCCGCUCUGUAGGCCCGGCCGGCGCUUGCCGAACGCAAAUCAAUCUUUUUCCAGGUUGACCUCGGAUCAGGUAGGGAUACCCGCUGAACUUAAGCAUAUCAAUAAGCGGAGGA